rnacentral:rRNA from 1 species
GACAGAGGGUGCAAACGUUUGUUCGGAAUUACUGGGCGUAAAGCGCGUGUAGGCUGCUCUGCAAGUCGGAUGUGAAAGCCCUGGGCUCAACCUAGGAAGUGCACUCGAAACUGCAAAGCUGGAGUCCUGGAGAGGAAGGCGGAAUUCUCGGUGUAGAGGUGAAAUUCGUAGAUAUCGAGAGGAACACCGGUGGCGAAGGCGGCCUUCUGGACAGUGACUGACGCUGAUGAACGAAAGCCAGGGGAGCAAACGGG